CUGGAAAGACACAAAACCAACAGCCCUCUCUAUACAAGAGACAGUCGACAACUCUUGGCUGACUCUUUGCGAUGUUGCUACCUGUCCUUCUUAUGAAGAAGCGAACAGCGAGUGUCUGACCCCAUCUCACUCUAUCCUAUUUUGAAGAAAUGAGUCAGCCCCUUUCCUGAAUGGGGCCAGCCGAGGGAGGCUGCCAGGUGUUCCCCUGGACAGAUGGAUUGUCUGAUAUUUGCAGAUGCCUCAGCCCCUCAUCGAGGCUUCCCUGCACCCUGUCCUCACACUCUAUGAGCCAGCCUCCUUCCCAGUUGCCCUGCCUCUCCAGAGAACUCUCUACCCUCUUUAAUGCCAAAAGCAGUCACUUAUUUUCUCCUAUGAACACUGGGAAAUAGUAACUGACCACAUUUUUGGUUUUGCUUUGGUUGCUUGAAGAUGUAUGGCCACAGUUGUGGCUUACCAUGAUAAGGGCAUAGAUCACGCUGGUAGAAGAAUGAUGAAAAAAUACACAAUUCUAAUACUCAGAGAUAAGGACACUUUGAAGUUUGUGGUACAGCCUCCCAGACUACACACAUACGUAAAAGUGGGAUUUUACAAUACAUAGAGUUUAUACUGUGACUCUUGACUUCUUGGAGGCCAUAGUCAUUUCAAGAAGGUCAUGAGACUUCUAGCUCCCUUUGAGGAAAAAUCCUCUUAGGCCUAUACAUACAAAC
rnacentral:lncRNA from 1 species